GGCGAACAGGGAAUGAGGAUGGGGAAUGGUGAAGGCGGGAGGCACGUUACUGGAAAUUUUGUUAAUUUGAGAAAUUGAGGUUCAUGCCAUCAGGAAGAAAGAAUCGAAUCUGGAGAAUCAAAAAAAGACAGGAAUAAAAACAGUACCAGAGAUUGAAGAAUAAUUAAGUACUCCAAGUCCAGUUCAGAGAAAAAAGAAUCAAAUUUUUCAAUCCAAAAUUGUAAGCAACCAAUAUGAACAAAUUUC